UCGCUCCGUCAUUUCUUCAAACACCAGCAAAGCGGGAUAGGAAUCAAAAUACUCCAGUGACCACAACUUCCCUGUCAACGGUUCCAGUACCUUAAAAUAUGGGGCUUUAAAACCCAGCCUGGUGCUUCUGGACUCCGUCAUCGCAGCUUGGAUCUGGUACUGAACAGUCGGUGAUCACCGGGCGGGAGAGAAACAAGGAAAUAAUUGGAGCUUCAGAGAUUUGAG
rnacentral:misc_RNA from 1 species